rnacentral:rRNA from 1 species
UACGUAGGGUGCAAGCGUUAUCCGGAAUUAUUGGGCGUAAAGAGCUCGUAGGCGGUUUGUCGCGUCUGCUGUGAAAACCCGAGGCUCAACCUCGGGCCUGCAGUGGGUACGGGCAGACUAGAGUGCGGUAGGGGAGAUUGGAAUUCCUGGUGUAGCGGUGGAAUGCGCAGAUAUCAGGAGGAACACCGAUGGCGAAGGCAGGUCUCUGGGCCAUUACUGACACUGAGAAGCGAAAGCAUGGGGAGCGAACAGG